GUCGCACCGAGCGUUCGCCCUGGAGCGAGGUCCGCCGAGUUCCCGUGCGCCGCUCUCGCUCUCGUCGUCGUCAUCGCCGUUGCGCCGCAAUCGUCGAUCCCGUCCCUCGUUCGAUCGCGAUACCUCGGGCCGCCCUCGCCGCUUCGCGGGCAACUUCGCGCUGCCUCUGACCGCCGCGAGCGCGUAUUGCGCGAGGGUGUCGCGAUGCGGUACUUGAAGCAAGCGACGACGCGUACUACUUGAUUGGCGACGAGCCGUCCGGGUCGCCCAGGAUCGUUCGUCGGUGAUUUCACCGGGCGAUUUGAAGCUGCAAGCCUAGUGAUCGGCCUCGCCUAGCCUCGCAUCGUCUCGCCGCCUCUCCUCGCCUAAAGCUGAUCAGUAUGCCCGCGCCGAUCAGUGCGCGCCUGUUGCUGUUCCGCUACGCUACGAGCGGUCUCGAGGCAAGAGGAUGCAACGAAGUCAGUUGAGGGACAUCUCGUCCUGGAUGACGCGCCUAUUCCCGGAGCCUGGGGACGGAAGUAGCUGGAUGGUCGACGGGUUCAAGAUGUUCGGUUCAAAGAACAGCUCGCCUACAAGUACGUUCUACACCGACCUCGAGAUCACGGAGGACAAGCAGGAGUUCCAGCAGGAGGACGAACAUUCCAAAGCGCCGCCGCCACCGCCGCCGCGUUUGCCGGAGCAGCAGAGCGCGACCAGCGAGGAUGGGAACUCGCAGGAUUCGGACACGGCAACAGGUGCCGAGGAGCAGCAGGCCUACGUCAGACAUUCCUUCCACAGGAUCGCCAGUUACGGCGGCUUCCCGCGAUUUCAGUCGUUCGUCAUGUCCGCUUCCACGCCGGCCGAGUGCAUCGAUAUCACGAGACACGAGGAGACUUCAUCGGAAACGUCCUACAUUAAGAUGUCACAUAGCGUCCUAGAGUAUAGAAGCAGUAGUUACGUAGCUUCGGAGAGAAGAUCCCAUCAGUACACGUUAGACACGUACGCGGUAAGCGAAUCCGAGAGCGAGGAGGAGUCGGAGGAAACGCGGUCUUCAGAGACGGACUCUGCCAUAGUGGCGGAUCACACGGACGAGCCGAUACCAACCGAGCCCAAGUUACCAGCGAAGGACUCUCCUGAUUCGAAGAGGAGGAAGGCGUUAAACGUGGCGCGGGAGUUGCUGGCGACCGAGAAGAACUACGUGAAUAUUUUACAUCUGAUCGAUCAGGUGUUCCAAUUCAGGGUCGACCAGGAGAACAGGGCGCAUCCGAUGUUCCCGCCGGAGACUGUCCAGCACAUGUUCGCGAACAUCAAGUCGAUCUACAAGUUUCACAACGAGUUCCUGCUGCCGCAGCUCGAGGACAGGAUGCAAGAUUGGGACUCGGAUCCGAGAAUCGGCGACAUAAUGAAGAACUUCGCGCCGUUUCUCAAGAUGUACACGGAGUACGUGAAGAAUUUCGAUUACGCCAUGAAUCUGAUCAGCACGUUGCAGAGCAAGGUGCCCAGGUUUGCGGCGAUUAUCAAUGAGAUUCAGAAGCUUGACGAGUGCGCCAAGCUGUCGCUGGCUCAUCACAUGUUGAGCCCGAUACAGAGGUUGCCGCGAUACGAGCUGCUACUUAAGGAUUACUUGCGAAAUCUCACUGAGGAUCAUCAAGACUACGUCGAUGCGCAAAAGGCCCUAGAAUUAGUGUCCAUCGCUGCCAAUCACACGAACGACGCGAUGAAGAAGAUCGACAAGUUUAAGAAACUGCUGGAGAUCCAAGAGAGCAUAUACGAUGCAACUGAUCUAGUCAGUGCGACCCGUGAACUGGUGAAGGAAGGGCGUAUAGUGAAAAUUUCGGCGCGUAGCGGCGAUCAUCAAGAGAGACAUUUAUUUUUGUUUAGUGAUUUAUUAUUACUCUGCUCGAUAAGACUGAUACCCGGCCCUAUGUAUCGACUGAGAGCCAAGUUUCUGGUGGAAAAUCUGAAGGUGGUCGAGGGUGACAAUCUCGAAACCGCAAACACCUUCUACAUAAAGGACGAAAACAAGACCGUUGAACUGUACACGCACGAUGCCGCGGAGAAAGCGGCGUGGCUGGACGCGCUGUUACAAACGAUGCAGGAAAUCAUAAGGCGUAAGGCCAGCCUGAAGACUGGCAACGUCAAGACCUCCUUGGUCAAGGCCGACGAGGUAACCAAAUGCAUGGUGUGCGAGGUUAUCUUCUCUGUGAUGAAGCGCAAGCAUAACUGCCGGGCUUGUGGAAGGGUGGUUUGUAGUAAAUGCUCAAAUCAGAAAUUAUUAUUCGAGGACAAUAAAAGCAUGCGAGUGUGCAGACUGUGUCAUGCCGCGCUCACCCAGCCGCUCACUAAAUCGCCGUCAUCGCCCUCCGGACCAGUGCCAAGUUUGCUGCAAGUGUCGGCGAGCGCGCCCUCAGUAUUAUCCGGCUACCUGUUGUUGAAGACGCAGGCCAGUAAACCGUGGACCAGACGGUGGUUCGCGUUGCACGUCGACUACGUCCUGUACUCGUUCAAGUCCGAGUCGGAGAGCAUGGCCAUGACCGCGACGCCUAUGCCGGGCUUCACGGUCACGGAAGGUACGAAACUGCCCGACGAGGAUCCGCUAAACACGAAGGAUCGGAUCAGAGCGUUCAAGAUGCAUCAUUCUAGGAAGUAUUACUAUCUGCAAGCGUCUUCUCAGGAGGACAAGGAAAGGUGGAUGAACGCGCUCGAUUUGGCUACGAAGGCUGAACUACCUCAUUUCACGCAGGCGGAAAACGAAGAAAGCGCACAAGAGAGUCAAUCAAUGAACGAUGUACAAUGAGCACCUUCGUACCUUUUUACCUAACCAAACUAGCCAAUUUUUUUACUGUCUCGUACUCUCGCGAACGUGAAGACGGACACGGCAAUUGUGUACUACAAGAGAAGAGAAUGGGAGAGAAACCGAGUCAAUAGCGGCCGCUGCCGAAACGCUUGUUGUUUUGUAUGAUGUUCUGUUAUAGUAUAUUUAUAAAUAUAUAUAUAUAUAUAUUGUCGUUCGAUCACACGAUACGCUGUGCUGACCGUAAUUUGCAAUGGAUGCCGAAAAUACGUCGCGAUAUGCUUGUGAGAAAUUAGUUAACUCGCUUCAGUGAUAAUAUGUUAUCUAAGCUACGAGAGAAGAUCGAUUUUAUUGAAUGCGUAAUGAAGUCUAUAGUUUUAUCAAUAAAUUUAUUUCACAUCGUA
rnacentral:misc_RNA from 1 species